GCUCGGUGGAAUAGUUGGUUAGUGCGUGCGAUGGCAAAUGUGACUAGUUAAUCUCUCCAUUGUAGCUGCGGGUUCGAAUCCCGCCAGCGGCA